rnacentral:rRNA from 1 species
GACGAACGCUGGCGGCGUGCCUAACACAUGCAAGUUGAGCGAAUGAAGUUCCUUCGGGAAUGGAUUUAGCGGCGGACGGGUGAGUAACACGUGGGCAACCUGCCUCAUACAUGGGAAUAGCCUUCCGAAAGGGAGAUUAGUCCCGGAUAAGAUUGUAGCACCGCCUGGUACAGUAAUUAAAGGAGCACUCCGCUGUGAGAAGGGCCCGCGGCGCAUUAGCUAGUUCGUGAGGUAAUGGCUCACCAAGGCGACGAUGCGUAGCCGACCGGAGAGGGUGAUCGGCCACAUUGGGACUGAGACACGGCCCAGACUCCUACGGGAGGCAGCAGUGGGGAAUAUUGCACAAUGGGGGAAACCCUGAUGCAGCAACGCCGCGUGAGUGAUGACGGCCUUCGGGUUGUAAAGCUCUGUCUUCAGGGACGAUAAUGACGGUACCUGAGGAGGAAGCCACGGCUAACUACGUGCCAGCCGCCGCAGUAAAAC